rnacentral:rRNA from 1 species
UACGUAGGGCGCAAGCGUUGUCCGGAAUUAUUGGGCGUAAAGAGCUCGUAGGCGGCCUGUUACGUCUGCUGUGAAAUCCCGGGGCUUAACCCCGGGCGUGCAGUGGAUACGGGCAGGCUGGAGGCAGGCAGGGGAGAACGGAAUUCCCGGUGUAGCGGUGAAAUGCGCAGAUAUCGGGAGGAACACCGGUGGCGAAGGCGGUUCUCUGGGCCUGUACUGACGUUGAGGGACGAAGCCUUGGGUAGCAAUAAGG